CAAGAUGAAGAGGUGAACUUUGAUGUGUUUCAAGCUAUGUCACAUCCCAAAGACGACAGGUCAUUGAUGGGUGUCGCGGCCCAUACAAAUUUAAUUGCAAUUUAGAAAUGCAGUAUAAUGCUAGGGAAUUACCCCUAGGUCGUCUCUCAAGGACCAACUGCGGUUCAGAGUCAAGUCUAACACAAAGGGGGGGGGGUUUGAAAAGUGUUUUUGCGAAUGCGAAUAACUAAAUUAAAACAAAUGGACAUUAAACUCAACUGAGUAAGUUAGAAAACAUCAAGGUAAAAUAAAAUGCUAAUCCCGACAUUUCAACAAACAAUUAUCUAAACACAAGUAAAACUAUAAAAUGCAACGCUAAAUUAGAGACAUCAAAAGCAACUAAUCCUACUAUGUAAAUUAAUGCAAAACAAAGGGGUAAUUAAACAUGCUUUUUAAUCCAUCAAUUAUGUGACCAAUAUUCAUCUACCAAAUGAAAUUAAAAGUGCAAUUAGCUUGAGAAAACCCCCUUGGGCCGUGAGCUCCUAGUCCACCAAGGCCCAACUUCAAUUCUUGAUUUUCUUCCUUAAAUGAACCAUGCAAGAUGUGUUGACUCUUUGUCUCAUAUGCACCAAACUUCAAGACAACAAUCAUGUGCCUUCCAUAUCAUUCAAAACCGUCACCCACUCCUUGCAUGUAGCAAAAUAAAAUGGAAACCAUGCUAAGGGAGGAAAUUCACGUGAAAAUUGGCAAUGUUGGGUGCAAGGAAUGCUUCUAAAAAGUCCACAAGUCAAAGGGUGCUUUAAUCUCUUCUUUCAAGAUGCCACAUG
rnacentral:lncRNA from 1 species